rnacentral:pre_miRNA from 1 species
GUGGAAGGGGCAUGCAGAGGAGAGGAGAGAUCCAAAACUCUACCCAGGCCCUGUUUUUCUUUUCCUGUGCUCGCCCCUUCCAC